GACGAAGAAGAGGAGGAGGAAGAAGGAGGCUGCUCUUGAAGCUUAUAUGGAUGGUCAUUCACAUUCUGCAACUGCCAACAGUGCCUGGAAGUUUACGAGUGCUCGUGAGGCGUUAAGCAUCAACCUUGCAGCAUUUGAGAAGCCUCUCAGGAAGCUCACAUUUGCUGAUCUUCUCGAAGCCACCAAUGGUUUCCACAACGACAGUCUUGUAGGCUCUGGUGGUUUUGGUGAUGUCUACAAAGCUCAGUUGAAGGAUGGGAGUGUUGUAGCUAUUAAGAAAUUGAUACACGUCAGUGGACAGGGUGAUCGAGAAUUCACUGCUGAAAUGGAAACCAUAGGGAAGAUCAAGCACCGCAACCUUGUCCCUCUUUUGGGCUACUGCAAAGUAGGGGAAGAAAGACUACUGGUUUAUGAAUACAUGAAGUAUGGAAGUCUUGAAGAUGUCCUGCAUGAUCGGAAGAAAAUUGGGAUCAAGCUGAAUUGGCCUGCAAGAAGGAAAAUUGCCAUUGGAGCUGCGAGAGGUUUGGCUUUCCUACACCAUAACUGCAUUCCACACAUCAUUCACCGGGACAUGAAAUCAAGUAAUGUCUUGCUUGAUGAAAAUUUGGAAGCCAGAGUAUCUGAUUUCGGAAUGGCAAGGUUAAUGAGUGCUAUGGACACUCAUUUGAGUGUCAGCACUCUUGCCGGCACUCCAGGAUACGUACCUCCUGAAUAUUACCAAAGCUUUAGAUGUUCUACAAAAGGAGACGUUUAUAGUUAUGGUGUCGUAUUACUUGAGCUUCUAACCGGCAAACAGCCAACAGAUUCAGCUGAUUUUGG
rnacentral:misc_RNA from 1 species